AAAAUCCGUCGACUUUAAAAUCGUGAGGUUCAAGUC
rnacentral:tRNA from 1 species